UCCAGACUCCUACGGGAGGCAGCAGUGGGGAAUAUUGCACAAUGGGGGAAACCCUGAUGCAGCGACGCCGCGUGAGUGAAGAAGUAUUUCGGUACGUAAAGCUCUCUCAGCAGGGAAGAAAAAAAGUCCUUUGGACUUUGGACGGUACCUGACCAAGAAGCCCCGGCUAACUACGUGCCAGCAGCCGCGGUAAUACGUAGGGGGCGAGCGUUAUCCGGAUUUACUGGGUGUAAAGGGAGCGUAGACGGUUCUGCAAGUCUGAAGUGAAAGCCCGUGGCUUAACCGCGGAACGGCUUUGGAAACUGUGGAACUGGAGUGCUGGAGAGGCAAGCGGAAUUCCUAGUGUAGCGGUGAAAUGCGUAGAUAUUAGGAGGAACACCAGUGGCGAAGGCGGCUUGCUGGACAGUAACUGACGUUGAGGCUCGAAAGCGUGGGGAGCAAACAGGAUUAGAUACCCCAGUAAC
rnacentral:rRNA from 1 species